rnacentral:rRNA from 1 species
UACGUAGGGGGCUAGCGUUGUCCGGAUUUAUUGGGCGUAAAGAGCGUGUAGGCGGCCAGGUAGGUCUGGUGUGAAAACUCGAGGCUUAACCUCGAGAUGUCAUCGGAAACCAUCUGGCUAGAGUCCGGAAGAGGAGAGUGGAAUUCCUGGUGUAGCGGUGAAAUGCGCAGAUAUCGGGAGGAACACCUAUGGCGAAGGCAGCUCGCUGGGACGUUACUGACGCUGAGACGCGAAAGCGUGGGGAGCGAACAGG